UUAGGGUUCUAGCCGCACGAACCCAUCAUAUAAUUGUUCGUGACAUUGUCAUAUAAUUGAGUAGAUACUUUUUUUGAAGAGUCGCGUUUGUCGAUGACAUCGUAAACCAUCAUCAAUCGAUAGCUUACAAAUUAUUGUGUCAUCAAAAUUUGGAGUUUUCCCAAAUCAGAUGGCCAAUUAUUUUCCACCUAAUUUACCAAGAGUUCCAAGUCAUGCACUCUGGAGUGAUUUACAAAUUAUAUAUCAUGAAGAAGAGAGUCUUUGGUAUUUUGACGAUGCAGGAAGCACAACUCUUUUCAAUAGAAGCUUGACUUAUGUGUACAUGAGUUUCAGAAUGGAAGACACCAUCUUAGAAACCCCUGUGCACAUUACUCAUGAGUUGACUUUUCACUGUAUAUGGAAUAUCCAUCGUCAUUUUCAGAAUCCUAUGCCUGAAAACUUGGGCAGAAGACAAGUGGGAGGAAUUGGUCGCUUAUAUCGACGACAAUUUGGUUUGGUUUAUCGGAGGAGAAGUCGUGGGCAUGGGCAGAGAGAAAUACCUAGGGAUUAGCUGUCCACAUCAGAUGGUUCUACUAUGCUUACUUAUCAUUCAUCUGAUCCUUAGGGAUAUGGCCUGAUGGUGGUUAAACAGGUACUCUAAUAGACAAGGUUGUAUUUUGUCGUCAUGACUAUUGUAGUGUCCAUCCUUUUUAAUCGUCGAGUCAUCGAUCUAUUUUGAUUGAUUUGAUAUAUUUUCUUAUGUUUUACUUGACUUACAUGGCAGAGCAAUAAAUAUCUUUUCCUUUAUCUA